rnacentral:sRNA from 1 species
CAUACUUAUGGCCUUUACAUGAAUAUGUCUUGAUCAGACAUUCAGAGAUUAGUCUUAGGUUUGCACGUAAGUCACUGAAAACAGUAAAACUGGCUGCUUAGAUUUCCAGCAAUAUGUGUGCUCUUAUCCCCAGCUGUUAGCACGUUAGUAAUACUUCUGGGGAGGAGUUGUCUGUCCUGGUCAGUUUUCACAGAGAGGGUUGUAAGAGGAUGUGGUUAUUUUCUCCAUGUCUGUAGCUGCUUUGCGGCAUCUCCAUUUCACGGGCAACACUCACUGCCUGCAGCUGAGAUUCCAGAAGCUGCGUCCACAGUGAUUUGCCUCGUCUUUCAGCGAGCAUGAAAUAGGUGCAUUGUCCUUUUCUUUUCUUGAGGCAGGGUCUCACUCUGUUGACCAGGCUGGCUGGGAAGCGAGCUACGAGGUGCUCAAAGGUCCUCUAUGUCUGCAGGUAGCCCCGUCCCACACAGGAAAGCAUCCUUGGGCCUCCUUAGUAGCCAAAGGAACUGAGGUCCAGAGCAGGGAAUGUGUUGCCCAGUGUCAGAGCAUGCUCUGCUCUGGGGUCA